rnacentral:rRNA from 1 species
CGGGGUGAGUAACACGUGGAUAACCUACCUAUAAGACUGGGAUAACUUCGGGAAACCGGAGCUAAUACCGGAUAAUAUUUUGAACCGCAUGGUUCAAAAGUGAAAGACGGUCUUGCUGUCACUUAUAGAUGGAUCCGCGCUGCAUUAGCUAGUUGGUAAGGUAACGGCUUACCAAGGCAACGAUGCAUAGCCGACCUGAGAGGGUGAUCGGCCACACUGGAACUGAGACACGGUCCAGACUCCUACGGGAGGCAGCAGUC